UACGGGGGGGGCAAGCGUUGUUCGGAAUUACUGGGCGUAAAGGGCUCGUAGGCGGCCUACUAAGUCGGAUGUGAAAUCCCCAGGCUUAACCUGGGAAUUGCAUCCGAUACUGGAUGGCUUGAAUCCGGGAGAGGGAUGCGGAAUUCCAGGUGUAGCGGUGAAAUGCGUAGAUAUCUGGAGGAACACCGGUGGCGAAGGCGGCAUCCUGGACCGGCAUUGACGCUGAGGAGCGAAAGCCAGGGGAGCAAACGGG
rnacentral:rRNA from 1 species